GAUGAACGCUGGCGGCGUGCUUAACACAUGCAAGUCGAACGAAGCGGCUUUACGGAAGUUUUCGGAUGGAAGUGAGGUUGACUGAGUGGCGGACGGGUGAGUAACGCGUGGGUAACCUGCCUCAUACAGGGAGAUAACAGUUAGAAAUGACUGCUAAUACCGCAUAAGCGCACAGUACCGCAUGGUACAGUGUGAAAAACACCGGUGGUAUGAGAUGGACCCGCGUCUGAUUAGCUAGUUGGUGAGGUAACGGCCCACCAAGGCGACGAUCAGUAGCCGACCUGGGAGGGUGACCGGCCACAUUGGGACUGAGACACGGCCCAAACUCCUACGGGAGGCAGCAGUGGGGAAUAUUGCACAAUGGGCGAAAGCCUGAUGCAGCGACGCCGCGUGAGCGAAGAAGUAUUUCGGUAUGUAAAGCUCUAUCAGCAGGGAAUGCUCGUACCUUGACGGUACCUUACGAGAAAGCCACGGCUAACUACGUGCCAGCCGCCGCGGUAAAAC
rnacentral:rRNA from 1 species